rnacentral:tRNA from 1 species
CCCUGGGCAGUGCAAACAGUUAACGCAUUUGGCUGCUAGCCAAAAGGUUGGAGGUUUGCAUCCUCCCAAAGGGA